CGCCUCUUGAAAAUAUAAGAGGUCCAGCCUGCCCAGUGACUCUGUUCAACGGCCGCGGUAUUCUGACCGUGCGAAGGUAGCGUAAUCACUUGUUCUUUAAAUAAGGACUUGUAUGAAUGGCACCACGAGGGUUAUGCUGUCUCCCUUUUCUAAUCAGUUAACCUAAUCUUCCCGUGAAGAAGCGGGAAUAUCACUAUAAGACGAGAAGACCCCAUGGAGCUUUAGACGAACAGCACUUGCUAGCUACUUUUCUUUCAACAAGCCAAGCAUACUGACUGCUAGUUUUCGGUUGGGGCGACCACGGAGAACAAACUAACCUCCACGCUGGAAGAAACCUUUUCUUAACCAUAAGCCACACCUUUAAGUAUUAACAACUUAACAUCCAUUGACCCAAUAAAAUUGAUCAACGAACCUAGUUACCCUGGGGAUAACAGCGCAAUCCAUUUCAAGAGCUCCUAUCGACAAAUGGGUUUACGACCUCGAUGUUGGAUCAGGGUAUCCCAGUGGUGCAGCCGCUACUAAAGGUUCGUUUGUUCAACGAUUAAAACCCUACGUGAUCUGAGUUCAGACCGGAGUAAUCCAGGUCAGUUUCUAUCUAUAAAGAGCCCACUUUAGUACGAAAGGACCAAGUAGGCAUGGCCUAUGCCUAAAGCAAGCCAUAGUAAAAAUUUAUGCCCUCCACUUAAUUUAAUUCAACCUAAAACUUCCCCUCCUAGACAAGGACAA
rnacentral:rRNA from 1 species